GCGGAGGAAAAGAAACCAACAGGGAUUGCCCCAGUAACGGCGAGUGAAGCGGCAACAGCUCAAAUUUGAAAUCUGGUCCCCCCGCGGGGCCCGAGUUGUAAUUUGAAGAGGAUGCUUCUGGCAAGGUGCCGUCCGAGUUCCCUGGAACGGGACGCCGCAGAGGGUGAGAGCCCCGUACGGUCGGACGCCGAGCCUCUGUGAAGCUCCUUCGACGAGUCGAGUAGUUUGGGAAUGCUGCUCAAAAUGGGAGGUAAACCCCUUCUAAAGCUAAAUACCGGCCAGAGACCGAUAGCGCACAAGUAGAGUGAUCGAAAGAUGAAAAGCACUUUGAAAAGAGAGUUAAAAAGCACGUGAAAUUGUUGAAAGGGAAGCGCUUGCGACCAGACUCGCGCCCGUCGGAUCAGCCGUCGCUCGUCGGCGGCGCACUCCGGCGGGCUCGGGCCAGCAUCAGUUCGCCUCGGGGGGAGAAAGGCGGCGGGAAUGUGGCUCUACGGAGUGUUAUAGCCCGCCGCGUAAUACCC
rnacentral:rRNA from 1 species